UGCAACCUGAGCUCAGUCGUGAUUACCCGCUGAACUUAAGCAUAUCAUUUAGCGGAGGAAAAGAAACUAACAAGGAUUCCCUUAGUAACGGCGAGUGAACGGGGAGAAGCCCAGCGCUGAAUCUCUCGGUGUUACAUCGUUGAGAAAUGUAGCGUAUAGGUGUGGCUUUCAGUUUGUGCUACAUGUCCAAAGUCCCUUUGAUAGGGGCCACAUUCCUGAGAGGGUGCGAGACCUGUGCGGACAGUGGAGCAAGCUGUACGGUCAUAUCUUGGAGUCGGGUUGCUUGAAAGUGCAGCCUAAAGUGGGUGAUAAACUUCAUCUAAGGCUAAAUAUAGACGCGAAUUCGAUAGCAAACAAGUACUGUGAAGGAAAGUUGCAAAGAACUUUGAAGAGAGAGUUCAAGAGAACGUGAAAUCGCUGGAGUGGAACCGGAGAGAGUUGACGUAGUCAGGUAACUAAGUUUACCAAAAUCGCUUAAAUGUGAUGGCGGAAGAUGUAUGUUGCCUAUGGCUGCGCUGACAGCAUUGGCUGUGCGUUCUGAACCGCGUUGCGUUGCCCACCUUUUUAUUGGGGUGGUGUCUUGCUUUCGGAUAGGUUUGUCAUGGCUAAUGUUUUAUCCUGCUGCUUAUAUACAGGGUGUCAGUGUGAAAGUCGACCACCUCUCCGACCCGUCUUGAAACACGGACCGAGGAGUGUAACUUGUACGCGAGUCAAAGGGUGGAAAACCCCACGGCGAAAUGAAAGUAAAGGUCGGUUAACCGGCUGACAUGGGAUCUGCUUUUCGAUGGUAGCGCACCAUGGCCCUGUCUUGUCUGCUUGCAGAUGGGCAGCGGUAGAGCGUACAGGUUGCGACCCGAAAGAUGGUGAACUAUGCCUGAGCAGGACGAAGUCAGAGGAAACUCUGAUGGAAGUCCGUAUCGGUUCUGACGUGCAAAUCGAUCGAUAGACUUGGGUAUAGGGGCGAAAGACUAAUCGAACCAUCUAGUAGCUGGUUCCCUCCGAAGUUUCCCCCAGGAUAGCUGGAGUUCACAUUGCGGUUAUAUCCGGUAAAGCGAAUGAUUAGAGGACUUGGGGUCGAAACGAUCUCAACCUAUUCUCAAACUUUCAAUGGGUAUGUUGUCUCGGUUUCUUUGUUGAACUGUUGACACGAACGCGAGCUCCAAGUGGGCCAUUUUUGGUAAGCAGAACUGGCGCUGUGGGAUGAACCAAACGUUGGGUUAAGGUGCCUAACUUCUCGCUCAUGAGACCCCAUAAAAGGCGUUGGUUGAUAUAGACAGCAGGACGGUGGCCAUGGAAGUCGGUACCCGCUAAGGAGUGUGUAACAACUCACCUGCCGAAUCAACUAGCCCUGAAAAUGGAUGGCGCUUGAGCGAGGGACCUAUACCCAACCGUUGCUGGCUUGUGCGUUGUCUAACGCCUGGCCGCAACGAGUAGGAGGGUCGUGGCGGUUGCGUCGAAGGCUUUGGGCGUAGGCCCAGCUGGAGCUUCCGUCAGUGCAGAUCUCGGUGGUAGUAGCAAAUAUUUAAGUUCGAUCCUUGAAGACUGAAGUGGAGAAGGGUUCCACGUGAACAGUAGUUGAAUGUGGGUCAGUCGAUCCUAAGAUACUGGCUUAUGCCUUGUAUCAUUGAGAGGGAAAAGUUUCUUUUCUCUCGGAUAUCAAAAGGGAAUAGGGUUAAUAUUCCCUAACGUAGACACAGAGAUUGCGGCUCUUUGAGUCGCUUGCGCGGUAACGCAUUCGAACUUGGUUACGUCGCUCAGAGACCGAGCUAGAGUUCUCUUCUCUAGUUAAGGAACGGACUCCCUGGAAUCGGUUCAGCCGUAGAUAGGGACGUUGUUUCCGUAAAGCAUCGCGGUUUCUGUGAUGUCUCGUGUUCUCUGGACGGCCCUUGAAAAACCAAGGAAGGCUAUUAAUCUGUGCUACAUCGUACCGAUAUCCGCAUCAGGUCUCCAAGGUGAACAGCCUCUAGUCGAUAGAAUAAUGUAGGUAAGGGAAGUCGGCAAAUUAGAUCCGUAACUUCGGGAAAAGGAUUGGCUCCAGUGAUCGGGUCGGUUGGCCUGUUAACUGAUGCUUGUGCGGUUUCGUCCGUGGCUGGUAGACGCUUACGCUGACACUGGACUAGUGACAAGACUGCCUUGUGGACGUUUUCAGGUGUGUGCUUUGUCUUCGGGCUUAGUAUCCUGACCGACCAUCAAAACGAUCGAACUGGAACUGGUACGGACUCGGGGAAUCCGACUGUCUAAUUAAAACAGAGGAGACAGAUGGUCCUUGCGGACGUUUACUGUCUCUGAUUUCUGCCCAGUGCUCUGAAUGUUAAAUCGUAGUAAUUCGAGUAAGCGCGGGUAAACGGCGGGAGUAACUAUGACUCUCUUAAGGUAGCCAAAUGCCUCGUCAGCUAACUACUGACGCGCAUGAAUGGAUUAACGAGAUUCCCACUGUCCCUAACUACUAUCUAGCGAAACCACAGCCAAGGGAACGGGCUUGGCAAAAAUAGCGGGGAAAGAAGACCCUGUUGAGCUUGACUCUAGUUUGACAUUGUGAAGAGUCAUGAGAGGUGUAGCAUAGGUGGGAGACUUCGGUCGACAAUGAAAUACCACCACUUUCAUCGAUUCUUUACUUAUUCGGUGAGAAGAGGAUUGAGCUUCGGCUCUUUUUUCUUUGUCUUAAGUAAAGCCACCUGGUGGCAUUGCGACUCUCGCCGAAGACAGUGUCAGGCGGGGAGUUUGACUGGGGCGGUACAUCUGUCAAAUCGUAACGCAGGUGUCCUAAGGCUAGCUCAGAGAGGACGGAAACCUCUCGUAGAGCAAAAGGGCAAAAGCUCGCUUGAUCUUGACUUUCAGUACGAGUACAGACCGCGAAAGCGUGGCCUAUCGAUCCUUUUAAUCCAGAUAGUUUCUGGUAAGAGGUGUCAGAAAAGUUACCACAGGGAUAACUGGCUUGUGGCAGCCAAGCGUCCAUAGCGACGUUGCUUUUUGAUCCUUCGAUGUCGGCUCUUCCUAUCAUUGCGAAGCAGAAUUCGCCAAGCGUUGGAUUGUUCACCCACUAAUAGGGAACGUGAGCUGGGUUUAUACCGUCRUGAGACAGGUUAAUUUUACCCUACUGUUGACUGAUUGUUGCGAUAGUAAUCCUGCUUAGUACGAGAGGAACAGCAGGUUCAGACAUUUGGUUCAUGGACUUGACCGAUCGGUCAAUGGUCCGAAGCUAACAUCUGGGGGAUUAUGACUGAACGCCUCUAAGUCAGAAUCCCACCUAGUCAAGGCAGCAAUAACUUUGUUUCCCGGUGUCGGGAGGCAACUCUAUCUCGUGGUAACGCGAGAGCUUAUGCCCUAGUAUGUGGCCUUGCCGGUAUGGAUAAUCCCUGCUGGUUGCCAAAGCCAGAUCACUCUGGUUCAAUGUCGGGGCGCAAAAUCACAUGUAUACGACAUGUAUACUGGUCAAGGUGUUGUAUCCAGUAGAGCAGUGUUUGUAUACUGCGAUCUGUUGAGACUAUCCUAUGAUCGGGUGUUUUG
rnacentral:rRNA from 1 species